CAAUUUUAAACAUUUUAACAAUAUGUUAACCAUUAAUGAAAGUAUUUUUGAUUUUAUUUUCUGAUUUCUCACACGAGAAAAGUAAUCAAGCAAUCAAAGACAAAUUAUGACAAUUAUACCUUCUUAAUACAGUUUUCACUGGUCAGCUGGCUAUGCCAGUUUGAUGCCCUUUAUACCUUUAGCUUUGGGAGUCAUCAUUCGGCUUGAUUUUUACUUUUCCUUCUGUUGAUGUGUUAAAAUAAUCAUUUAAUCGUGAGUAAUCAUUAAUUAAUGAUAAUUAUAAGUUCAAUUAAUGAUUAAUGAAUGCAAUCUAAAUUUAUAUUUAAUCUAAAGUUGAAAUCACUUUACGUCCAACAGUUAAAUCCUUUCCUUCAUCGGAUGGAAGGCAAAAAAUGGCUUCCCAUGCUUUCUCCUAUCCAUUCAAUCCUUUCUUCUGUGUUUGUGUAAAGUAAUUGUUUUUUUUUAUUAACAAAUCAAUUUCUUGUCGAUAUUUAUGUCAAUAUAUUUUGAUACCUUUAUUUUAUAAUCACCAUCAUCAUCAUUCUCACAAGUCAAACUAGUCAUCAUGGUUUAAGUAAUCAUCAUCAUCAUCAUCUUGACUUUAACUGACAAUCAAUUGGCAAUAACUUUUCAAAUCAACACCGUAAAUAUAAUAUGUAUAUUUAUAUGUGGGUUAUACAUGGUACAUCAAUUGACCCUGAUCUUGGAUAAAGCAAAAGGGAACACAAAAGGAAACCAAAGAUGAAAAAAGAUGACUUCUUGCUCUCUCCCGAUCUUUUCUGGCCAUCAUAUUUUCAUCUUCAUUUACAACGAAGAAAAAAAAUAUGAUGAAAAGAUAAAAUCAGCACGAGCAUAAACUUGUUAUUGUUAUUAUUGGUAAAACCUGAAUUGAUUUAUUGACUGGUCAGAUGAAUGUGUAACUGACAACCUUUUACCUUUCAUCAGCUUUUUUUAUCAUCACUCUCAUCUUCUGGUUCAUUCAUCUUCAGGCAUUCAUCUUAUUCUCCAUUUGAAACAAUUAUCGAUCAUCAUCAGUGCCUUACAUUAUCAUAUUUAAAAUUAUGACCAUUAUGAAUGGUAAAUAUUGACCAUCGUGAAAUAAGAUUCACCUAAUGACAAGCCUCCAACAACAAAGGGACCAUGAAAUAAACAAACAUAUCACUGUCAAUGUGAUUAUUUUUCAUGACUAUUA